UCCCUUAUAGCUCAGUCGGUAAAGAAUCUGCCUGCAAUGCAGGAGACCAAGGUUAGAUCCCUGGGAUGGGAA
rnacentral:tRNA from 1 species